rnacentral:rRNA from 1 species
CCUACGGGAGGCAGCAGUGAGGAAUAUUGGUCAAUGGACGAGAGUCUGAACCAGCCAAGUAGCGUGAAGGAUGACUGCCCUAUGGGUUGUAAACUUCUUUUAUAAAGGAAUAAAACGAGGCACGUGUGCCUUUUUGCAUGUACUUUAUGAAUAAGGAUCGGCUAACUCCGUGCCAGCAGCCGCGGUAAUACGGAGGAUCCGAGCGUUAUCCGGAUUUAUUGGGUUUAAGGGGAGCGUAGAUGGGUUGUUAAGUCAGUUGUGAAAGUUUGCGGCUCAACCGUAAAAUUGCAAUUGAUACUGGCAGUCUUGAGUACAGUUGAGGUAGGCGGAAUUCGUGGUGUAGCGGUGAAAUGCUUAGAUAUCACGAAGAACCCCGAUUGCGAAGGCAGCUUACUAAACUGUGACUGACAUUGAUGCUCGAAAGUGUGGGUAUCGAACAGGAUUAGAUACCCUUGUAGUC